rnacentral:rRNA from 1 species
UGUCUCAAAGAUUAAGCCAUGCAUGUCUCAGUACAAGCCACAUUAAGGUGAAACCGCGAAAGGCUCAUUAAAUCAGUUAUGGUUCCUUAGAUCGUACCCACAUUUACUUGGAUAACUGUGGUAAUUCUAGAGCUAAUACAUGCAAACAGAGUUCCGCCCGGAGACGGGCGGGAUGCUUUUAUUAGAUCAAAACCAAUCGGUGGUGGUGACUCUGAAUAACUUUCGGCUGAUCGCACGGUCUCGCACCGGCGACGCAUCUUUCAAAUGUCUGCCUUAUCAACUGUCGAUGGUAGGUUCUGCGCCUACCAUGGUCGUAACGGGUAACGGGGAAUCAGGGUUCGAUUCCGGAGAGGGAGCCUGAGAAACGGCUACCACAUCCAAGGAAGGCAGCAGGCGCGCAAAUUACCCACUCCCGGCACGGGGAGGUAGUGACGAAAAAUAACGAUCGGGACUCAUCCGAGGCCCCGUAAUCGGAAUGAGUACACUUUAAAUCCUUUAACGAGGAUCAAUUGGAGGGCAAGUCUGGUGCCAGCAGCCGCGGUAAUUCCAGCUCCAAUAGCGUA